rnacentral:rRNA from 1 species
GACGAACGCUGGCGGCGUGCUUAACACAUGCAAGUCGAGCGGUAAGGCCCUUUCGGGGGUACACGAGCGGCGAACGGGUGAGUAACACGUGGGUGACCUGCCCUCAGCUCUGGGAUAAGCCUGGGAAACCGGGUCUAAUACUGGAUAUGACUCCAUGACGCAUGUUGUGGGGUGGAAAGCCUUGUGCGGCUGAGGAUGGGCCCGCGGCCUAUCAGCCUGUUGGUGGGGUGANGGCCUACCAAGGCGACGACGGGUAGCCGGCCUGAGAGGGCGACCGGCCACACUGGGACUGAGACACGGCCCAGACUCCUACGGGAGGCAGCAGUGGGGAAUCUUGCGCAAUGGGCGAAAGCCUGACGCAGCGACGCCGCGUGAGGGAUGACGGCCUGG